rnacentral:tRNA from 1 species
UCCUAGGUGGUGCAAACAGUUAGCAUACUCAGCUGUUAACUGAAAGGUUGGAGGUUCAAGUCCUCCCAGAGGUG